UGAGCUUUAUCUAUUGUUAACAAAACCCAUUACUUUGUUUUGUAUUUCAUCACUAGUAAUUGAUAUUAUUGUACCUUUUGGUUACCUUAGAAUAGAAGUAAAUUAUCUGCACCGGACGAGACCGUGAGAGUCGCUGGCUGGUUGCCGUUAAAGAAAAUGAACAAAACAUGGGUUCUGGUGGAAUGGAGGGAGGAGCCUCCCACCUAUGAUAUUGUCCCUAAAAAGGACAUACUAAAAAAAAGUUUGAACCUGGAGAUGUUGUGGAUGUGGUUUAUGAAGAGGAAAGUUCCCCAGCCACAGUUAUAGAUAUUGAUGAGAGCAAAGAAACCCUCAGGAGGAGGAUGUUCAGGCUAGAGGGGAAAAGAAAAAGUCAGC